ACCUUCACCAACAUCAGCACCAAGAAUCCUCAAGGUUCAAAGACUCUGGACAACAUCUGGAUCAGUGAAACCUUGAAGAAGGUUUUCACAGGUCACUGGGCUGUCGUGAGAGAGGGCCUCAUGAACCCUUGGAUUCCAGAUGACUGGUCCUGGGGCGGAGUGGCUUCCGAACACUGCCCCGUGCUGGCAGAGUUUUACACGGAGAAGGAUUGGAACAGGAAGGAAGGCGCCCGGAACAGCAGCGGGGUCACCCUGGAGCGAAGUGAAGCCAACAUUAAGCACGAGCAGUGAUGACAAUGAACCGGGUUUCCACCCUUGGACCCCGGAGGCCAGGAGCUCCCCCUCCCCGGUGAAGAUGCAGAGCGCCAGGAACUGUAGUUUCAUCUUCAUUCUGACCACGUCCGCGCCCGGGCCUGGACCCGCCUGCCAUCUUGGCGGAUGUGUUUGGACCUCUGGCAGGGGCGGGAGCACGCUGGGCCCUUGAAGUGCUGGAUGGUCAGAUCAGAAGCCCAGCAGAGAACGGAAAUGUGUGCCAUCUGCGGUUGCCGCCAAUCUCAGCCCACCGGCUGGCCACGCCCGCUGCCUGGACCGCAGCCCGGAGAGGAGCAGCUGCGGCGGCCGAGCAGCAGGGAGUGGGAGAUGCCCGGCCGCCGGGACCUGCCCGAGGGCUGCCGGGAGCUCUCCUCUCUGCCCACCAGUCUGCGAUGUUCUGGCUGCAGAUCACAUAAAGCUUUUAACUUGAGCAAUCUUCUCAAACAUUUUGAGUGGUGGCUUUUAGUUUUGUUUUGAAAAAAAACAGAGAUGAACCAGCCUGGCUGCAGUGAAAGCCCGGGGACA